CACACUGAAUCUCCCCGAGAACUACGUUAAGGGUGCACAUGUCUGUGGAGUGCUCAGCCACUUGCACGUUAAUUUCACGAGCAGGCUGUUCCGCUGAUCGGAUCAACCGGAACCCUCGUCGUCAUAAGCAACGGAGUGCCAACAAAACAAAGCGCACUUUGUACCAUCUCAAUAU